ACGGGAGGCAGCAGUGAGGAAUAUUGGACAAUGGGUGCAAGCCUGAUCCAGCCAUCCCGCGUGAAGGACGACGGCCCUAUGGGUUGUAAACUUCUUUUGUACAGGGAUAAACCUAGAUACGUGUAUCUAGCUGAAGGUACUGUACGAAUAAGCACCGGCUAACUCCGUGCCAGCAGCCGCGGUAAUACGGAGGGUGCAAGCGUUAUCCGGAUUUAUUGGGUUUAAAGGGUCCGUAGGCGGAUCAGUAAGUCAGUGGUGAAAUCUCAUAGCUUAACUAUGAAACUGCCAUUGAUACUGCUGGUCUUGAGUAAGGUAGAAGUAGCUGGAAUAAGUAGUGUAGCGGUGAAAUGCAUAGAUAUUACUUAGAACACCAAUUGCGAAGGCAGGUUACUAUGUCUUAACUGACGCUGAUGGACGAAAGCGUGGGGAGCGAACAGGAUUAGAUACCCUGGUAGUCCACGCUGUAAACGAUGCUAACUCGUUUUUGGGUUUUCGGAUUCAGAGACUAAGCGAAAGUGAUAAGUUAGCCACCUGGGGAGUACGAACGCAAGUUUGAAACUCAAAGGAAUUGACGGGGGCCCGCACAAGCGGUGGAUUAUGUGGUUUAAUUCGAUGAUACGCGAGGAACCUUACCAAGGCUUAAAUGGGAAUUGAUCGGUUUAGAAAUAGACCUUCCUUCGGGCAAUUUUCAAGGUGCUGCAUGGUUGUCGUCAGCUCGUGCCGUGAGGUGUUAGGUUAAGUCCUGCAACGAGCGCAACCCCUGUCACUAGUUGCCAUCAUUAAGUUGGGGACUCUAGUGAGACUGCCUACGCAAGUAGAGAGGAAGGUGGGGAUGACGUCAAAUCAUCACGGCCCUUACGCCUUGGGCCACACACGUAAUACAAUGGCCGGUACAGAGGGCAGCUACACAGCGAUGUGAUGCAAAUCUCGAAAGCCGGUCUCAGUUCGGAUUGGAGUCUGCAACUCGACUCUAUGAAGCUGGAAUCGCUAGUAAUCGCGCAUCAGCCAUGGCGCGGUGAAUACGUUCCCGGGCCUUGUACACACCGCCCGUCAAGCCAUGGAAGUCUGGGGUACCUGAAGU
rnacentral:rRNA from 1 species